rnacentral:rRNA from 1 species
UACGUAGGGGGCAAGCGUUGUCCGGAAUCAUUGGGCGUAAAGAGCGUGUAGGCGGCCCGAUAAGUCCGACGUGAAAUCCCCAGGCUUAACCGGGGAACUGCGUCCGAUACUGGAUGGCUUGAGUUCGGGAGAGGGAUGCGGAAUUCCAGGUGUAGCGGUGGAAUGCGCAGAUAUCAGGAGGAACACCUAUAGCGAAGGCAGCUUGCUGGGACGAUACUGACGCUAAGGCUCGAAAGCGUGGGGAGCGAACAGG